AUUCUCUCUUCCCUCUAUCUCCAGUGAGCACGCACGUCCUGUAGCAAGAUUUAAGAAACAAUAAUCAAAAAGUGAAAGUACAGCAGAGGAAAAAAAAAAAACGGGUAACACUGGAAGGGCAAUUAAAUAUUAGAAGAUGGCAGAUCAUGGGAUAGGGUCACUGUUAACAUUCUAGAGGCCUAAGAUGUGUAGCAUGAGAAACUCAGUCAAAAAGAAAUGAUCAACCUUAAUGAGGAAAUUGGCUAUUCUGAAAAAAAGGAUGAAAAUAUUUUAGAAAGAAUAAAGAUGACAAUAAAUUCGACAUUAACAGAUAUGUCACCGAUACUUUAAAAUAUUGAAAAUGUUAAUAGUGACAAGUUGUAUGUUGGACAGAAUUCUAAAUAUGGUCUCUCAAGAAUUGGGUGCUGUGGUUAUCCAACUGCAUAGUAAUCUAAGUACUGCUGGAAAGGAAUUUUUCACCUGUAAUUGAAGUCUCAAUUCAUUGAUUUUAAGAAUUGGAGAAUAUUUGGCUACUUUUGGAGAAAUGUGAGCAGUUAUAAAAGAGAGUUUUCUCCUCGUGGUCACAGUAGAAGACAUCAGAGUGAUUUGAAAGGUGGAAGAUUCAAUGUGCCAUCUCUGGCUUUGAAGAUGAAGAGGGCUACAUGAGAAAGGAUGUAGGUGUAUUUAGUACUUGACAGUGACCUUUAGCUGACAGCUCUCAAGGAAAUGGAAACUCAGACGUAUUGCAAUAAAUUGAGGACUUAAUUCUACAACCUUAAUAAGCUUGGAAACAGAUUCCUCCCCAGAGUUACCUAAUUAAGAGCUUGACCUAACAUUUUAUUUUCAGCAUUGUGGGACCCUGAGCACAAACCUCAGCUAAACAUACACUGACUUGUGACCUAGAAAGCUGUGACAAAUGGGGUCAUUGAAGUAGCAAUGUGCGAUGAAUGAAGAAUGCACUUUGCAGUCAAGUCAAAUGGGUUUGUAUACUGGCUUCAUAACUUUCCAGAAUAAGAUGGUACUUCAGAUAAGGACUAAAGAACUGGACUCCCACAUGACUGACCACAGUUCAAGUCUCGGACCAGGCUGCUUGAAACUCGCUGGGCCAGUGUGCAUGUGCACCCAAAAUCCUGAGGAGGAUGGAGGA